UACGUAGGGCGCAAGCGUUGUCCGGAAUUAUUGGGCGUAAAGAGCUCGUAGGCGGCUUGUCACGUCGGGUGUGAAAGCCCGGGGCUUAACCCCGGGUCUGCAUUCGAUACGGGCUAGCUAGAGUGUGGUAGGGGAGAUCGGAAUUCCUGGUGUAGCGGUGAAAUGCGCAGAUAUCAGGAGGAACACCGGUGGCGAAGGCGGAUCUCUGGGCCAUUACUGACGCUGAGAAGCGAAAGCAUGGGGAGCGAACAGG
rnacentral:rRNA from 1 species